rfam:Hordeum vulgare subsp. vulgare, WGS project CAJW01000000 data, contig: morex_contig_1516279
CGGACUGUAAAUUCGUUGACAAUGUCUACGCUGGUUCAAAUCCAGCUCGGCCCA